ACUUUAAUUUCGACAGUUCUUCAAGUAGCUAUUUUUCUAGAAUUGGGUAUUCUCGAGCAAUGGUUUCCGUCACCAAAAUACGUUUGUAUUAGUGCGUUUCACGUAUGGGACAGAAAAAGAUGGAACAGAAUUAUUUUAGGUUCCUUGUAUCAUGCAGACGACUUCCAUUUAUACUACAACAUGGCAUCAUUUCUUUGGAAAGGAAGACAGCUGGAAAGACGGUUUGGUAGUGUUUACUUCGGAUUUUUACUGACCAUUUUCACAGUUUUGACCGGUUUAGUAUAUGUAGCAAUUAAUAUUGCUUUGUCAGAAAUUAUGGAUGAUGGAUCAUACAGACUGACAUGUGCAGUAGGAUUUUCUGGUGUAAUAUUUGCUCUGAAAGUUUUGGUAACGCAUUACAGUCCUUCGGGAACACAGUACCUUAUGGGUUUUAUACCAGUGCCGAGUAAAUACAUCUUCUGGGCUGAGCUUGUGCUCAUUCAAAUGAUUACCCCAAAUGUAUCAUUCGUUGGUCACUUGGCUGGAAUUCUUGUUGGACUACUUUAUACAAAAGGACCACUGAAAGUAUUCAUGGAUAGUUUUCUUCAAUCAUCUGAGCACAGGCGCUUUUACGGUGGAGGUUAUUCAACAGCCAGUGAUAACGAUUACUAUGGUUCCAGAUAUAAUACUCGCUACAGGAAUGAUCGUUACUCCAGUAAUAGAAGUGACGAUUACAACAAUUAUACAGGUGGCUUAUCGGAAGAGGAACAAAUGAGGAGGGCCCAGGAGGAAAGCGUCAGGGAUAGAGGAAGGAUGUACCCAGAUCUUGAUGACUUACGAAGGAGGAGAGCAGAUCGAUUUAGCUAGUUGAAUGUAUACUGAUUCUAAUUGAACCGUUGAAUUGACAUUUUAAGAAGUAUAGUUUUUCUUUAUUACAUGUACUAUACUCUAUGGUUAUAUUUAAAUUUUCAUUGUUUUCAUGGUUGACAAAACAAGAACUUUGUAUGUUUUACCAAGCAGAACAUAAUUAUAAAAUGUUGAACACAC
rnacentral:misc_RNA from 1 species